AUUGAACGCUGGCGGCAGGCCUAAUACAUGCAAGUCGAACGGUAACAUAAAAGAAGCUUGCUUCUUUUGAUGACGAGUGGCGGACGGGUGAGUAAUAUUUGGGAAACUACCUGAUAGAGGGGGACAACAGUUGGAAACGACUGCUAAUACCGCAUAAAGCCUGGGGGUGAAAGCAGCAAUGCGCUAUCAGAUGUGCCCAAACGGGAUUAGCUAGUAGGUGAGGUAAAGGCUCACCUAGGCGACGAUCUCUAGCUGGUCUGAGAGGAUGAUCAGCCACAUUGGGACUGAGACACGGCCCAGACUCCUACGGGAGGCAGCAGUAGGAAUAUUGCACAAUGGAGGAAACUCUGAUGCAGCCAUGCCGCGUGUGUGAAGAAGGCCUU
rnacentral:rRNA from 1 species